AGAGUUUGAUCCUGGCUCAGGAUGAACGCUGGCGGCGUGCCUAAUACAUGCAAGUCGAGCGAACGGACGAGAAGCUUGCUUCUCUGAUGUUAGCGGCGGACGGGUGAGUAACACGUGGAUAACCUACCUAUAAGACUGGGAUAACUUCGGGAAACCGGAGCUAAUACCGGAUAAUAUUUUGAACCGCAUGGUUCAAAAGUGAAAGGCGGUCUUGCUGUCACUUAUAGAUGGAUCCGCGCUGCAUUAGCUAGUUGGUAAGGUAACGGCUUACCAAGGCAACGAUGCAUAGCCGACCUGAGAGGGUGAUCGGCCACACUGGAACUGAGACACGGUCCAGACUCCUACGGGAGGCAGCAGUAGGGAAUCUUCCGCAAUGGGCGAAAGCCUGACGGAGCAACGCCGCGUGAGUGAUGAAGGUCUUCGGAUCGUAAAACUCUGUUAUUAGGGAAGAACAUAUGUGUAAGUAACUGUGCACAUCUUGACGGUACCUAAUCAGAAAGCCACGGCUAACUACGUGCCAGCAGCCGCGGUAAUACGUAGGUGGUAAGCGUUAUCCGGAAUUAUUGGGCGUAAAGCGCGCGUAGGCGGUUUUUUAAGUCUGAUGUGAAAGCCCACGGCUCAACCGUGGAGGGUCAUUGGAAACUGGAAAACUUGAGUGCAGAAGAGGAAAGUGGAAUUCCAUGUGUAGCGGUGAAAUGCGCAGAGAUAUGGAGGAACACCAGUGGCGAAGGCGACUUUCUGGUCUGUAACUGACGCUGAUGUGCGAAAGCGUGGGGAUCAAACCGGAUUAGAUACCCUGGUAGUCC
rnacentral:rRNA from 1 species